GGGUAUUUAAAAGAUAUUUCAUUUUAAUAGCAUACUUUUCUGUUACAAAAUAUCUUUACUUACUUACACACGGGGCCUCGCAAGAUUGAGGUUGGGGUCAAAAUUUAAAAUGAACGUUGUUUUUUGGUUGUGUUACUUCCGCAUCAUCAGUUCAUAAAAUGUGUUUAGGGACAAAAAUAUUGAAAAACAGUGAGUGAAAAUGAGGAAGGUGGUCAUCGUAUCUGCUAGAAACAGCAGCUAAAUCUCCCUUAAAUCACAGUUUCCUUUGAGAAUAUUUAGUUCUUUUUCAUUCUUGUAUUUUUUUCUUUUAAAAAAAAUGGCGGAUCUUGUUCAAAACGGGAACAAGAUCCAAAAUGGCUCCUUCCGUGGCGUUUUAAUCGUAAAAAAAAAUUGGCCGUAAUCAUCCCGGAGUGCGAUAGGGAGGAGGAAGGGUAGAGAAAAUAAUUCAUAAAUUUUCAAAACUUUUUUUUCCUGAAAAGACGAUCCCCACCACCACCAUUUCCAAGGCUGUGGCGAAAAACAAAUGGAAAAAUAAUUCUCAAAACGGAGAAAUUACAGCUUUUGUGGUUCCCCUGUAGGAAGUGAGGCUGUCACUGAAUGGGUGCCACACAAUUCCUUACGUAAUCGUGGAAGGAAAAUAGCGGAAC